UAGUGGAGAUACAGUUUUUACUAAAAAUGAAAAUACAGUUUAUAUUUAUAUAAUAGUGGAUAUAUAGUUUUUUACUAUUAGUUUUCAUGAAAAAGCAAAUCUCAAACUCUAUGAUAGAAACAAAUUUUUUUAUUAGAGAAGAUUGCCACCAGGAAGAGAAGAUUUCUUCAAAAGCAAUCGAAAGUUUUUUAACCGUGUUUUUUUGUGGGAGCAAAUAUUUCUACUGGAAAAGAUUGCCACCGGGAGCAUAAGUUUGUUUUCUUGAAGUAAGUUUUUCAAUGAAUUUAAAUUUUUUAAUAGAGUUUUCUUCAAUUUUUGCAUAAUUUUUUUUUUAUAUGGUUUUUUCUUUAAUGGUAGAAACAACCGAAAGUUUAUAAACAGUAUUUUUUUUUGGAAGCAAAGUAUUUCUACUAGAAAAGAUUGCCACCGGGUAGCACGGGUCUUUCCGCUAGUAAUAAAGAAGACAAGCUCAUUGAAUCUUUUUUUUUUUUUUUUUUUAAAUAAAAUAAAAUUCUAUACAAUUUUACUAUCUUCUUAAAAAAAAUACUCUCUUUGGUCCAUUUCAGAUGAGUUCUUUAGAUUUUGUAGUAAAUAAAAAAAUAAAUAAAGUAAAGGUAAAAGAGUAAAAAUAGAAAGAGGACAACGACAUUCCAAAUAGGACAUUAGUUUGUGGACGACAUUCCAAAGGGGAAUAGUAUUUUAUUAGUUAGUGGAAUUGUGUAAUGAUAUAUUUGUAAUUUAAGUUAUAUUAUUUUAAUAUUAAUGUUGCAGCUGUUUGGGUA